GCAGUUGUUUGGGCUGUCGCUGUGGCUGGUUCUGCGGUGUGCGGCCAGCCAUGGAGCGCUCUGGGCCCAGCGAAGUGACAGGCUCAGACGCAUCGGGACCGGACCCGCAGCUUGUGGUCACCAUGGGCUUCACGGGGUUCGGGGUUCGGUAAAAAAGCUCACACAUUUGACUUGGAAGCAAUGUUUGAACAAACUCAAAGAACAGCUGUGGAAAGAAGUCACAAAACACUGGGAUGGUGAUUGCUCACACCAAAGCCUUGGACCCCUCCCAGCCUGUGACCUUUGUGACCAACGUCACCUAUGCAGCAGACAAGGGGGCUCUGUAUGUGGAUGUGAUCCGUGUGAACAGCUACUACUCUUGGUAUCGCAACUACGGGCACCUGGAGUUGAUUCAGCUGCAGCUGGCCACCCAGUUUGAGAAUUGGUGUAAGACAUCACAAUCCCAUUAUUCAGAGCGCGUAUGGAGUGGAAACGCUUGUAGGGUUUCACCAGUUCUGCAGGCUGGAAAUCCAAGAUGAAGUCACCUGUAGUUCAGUGUCUGCGUCUAAGAGAGCACUUUGUUGCUGCACCCGCCAGAGGGAAGAAAUACUGUAUCUUCUCAUGAAGGAAGGAACCGAAGGUUUACAAGUAUUGUGGCUGAAGGCUGUGUCUAUUCCUGCUUCCUCCACCUCACCUUGCAAAAGUGUUUAUCCAAAUAAAUCCCUCACACAUCUAAUCCCAUUUUGGCAAAUUCAGUUUCAGAACUUUGCCUUCACUACUAGUCUCAAGGAAAAUAUAUUAAUACACACACACACACACACAUGCAUGCACACACACACACAUAUGUAUAUAUUUCCCAAUCUAUUAUAGGUAAAAUAUACUCUUAUCACGAAUAAAUCCAAAUUGUGAAUGCUUAAAAUAUACUUUACAGAAUAUUAAAAUUUAAAAGCAUCACAGGAAAAAUAUUAAUACUGUUUUCAGAAUUUCAGUAUGUGAAUAAUAUUUACAUUACAGUUUCAUAUGAACCUUUUACUUCUCUAUUUAGUAUGCCUUCAUGUCACUGCAGAGGUAUGAAAAGGAGAGCUCUCCUAGUUGUGAAAAAAGAAACAUGUUUUAUUGGGAGCUAAGUGGAAGGUUGAACAUGUGGGAAUAUCUGGGCAUGCACUGAAGACACCUUUUGCAUCUCCCCCAUCCACAUAGCAAAGUGAAUGUGGUUUGUGUCCAUUUAUGCAGGAUACUCUGGAAAACCAAACUGAAGCAAGGUUAACAUACAUUUUUAAAAGAAAACUAAAGGAAAACAACACAUACUUUAUUACCUAUCAAAGUAACCACUUCAUUAUAUUUUAGUGGAAGCUAUUAUUUAUUAUCGAAUUAUUUGCUUGGGCAGGAGGAUACAGGGUUUUUCCAUUUGGGUUGUAUAUGUUCCUCAUGAGAAAAGCUGAAGACAAAAUCUUACCCUUCUGCCCAAAGUCAAUUGAAUCAACAUGUUUACCUUGCUCCACGGAGCUGCUAACCUACUGGCUGGGUGUUGUGUGGCUUGGCAAUGGAGUUCUGCAUGACAGGAACAAUGGUUUUUAAGUGGACUAAUCAGAGCUAUUAAUGCAUAUGCAGUGAAGGCAGGAACUUUGCUACAUGCAGGGCUUAUCAUUUUGCUAAUAACAAUGCCUGGCACAGAUUAGCGAUGUGUUGAAAUAAAACAUAUUCUGGGAGAUAUAAGAUAGAGAAAGAGAGCAGCAUGUAGUAGAAAUAGAUGUCGAAAGAUGAAUUAAGAUGAUGCAUUAAGCUUGAAACGUGAGGCAGAGAAAGCUGUACAUAAGUUGAAGGCUUUGAGUUAAAAGACUAUAGGAAUUAGAUGAGUGGGGGCUAUGGAGAACAGAGAGAAUUUAGAGUGUGGACAAGUGUUCUAUGAGCAGAGACUGGGACUAGCCAAAACGUGAUGAUGGGCAGCUAGCUUGGAAAGAAUGCUUACAACGUGAAAAUUAUAUAUUUAUAAAAGGCCAUUACUUCUGUUAAAGAACAAUAGACCCCAGUGAAAAGAAAGGAAAUUGAAAAAUAGAGAAAAUGUGGAGAAAACUAGAAUCUCUAUAGACAGCGUCAAUGCAGCAUCAAUUAUAUGAACCACUUUUGAGCACAAAGAACUAUUGUUUUGACCUUGGAGGCAAUUUGGUCUUCAUUAGGUUUAGCUGUAGGAUAGUUGAUGUUCAUUAUUCCCUAUAACACUUGUGAUGGCAAAACCUUCACAAAUUUAUAUGAUCUAGGUAUGUUUUCAAUCCUUACAACCCAAAUAACCGAUCAUAACUCUCACUAUGUCAUUUGAAAAAAAAAAUGAUCAUCAGAAGUGUAAUUCAAUUAGCAAGUAUCAGUAGUGGAGUAUAAAUUAUUAUUGGUUAAUACUAAGUAUGAUUGAAAAAUCGUAGUAGAUGGAAAUAUGGGAAUCUUUAUUUUGGAUGAAUAAA
rnacentral:lncRNA from 1 species